GGCAGAGAAGGCCGGAAGGGGACACCAUGUAGACAACAAAGGAAUAACAGGUCCCAACCCUUCUCCGAUAAGUUGCUUAGUUGAGAAGCACCAUGGACAGCACAGUGGCAUGCCUGGGACAUUCAGGAGGAGCUGGUAAUAAUACAUAUGCCACAGCACAGAGUGUACGGACUGCACUUCUCUAACAGUCCUCCAGGGUCUCAAACAUGCUCCAUGGAACUCUCUCUCAUUCACCAAGGCCUUCUUCUCUGUAAUGAAGUUCCUCUUGUUCACCGUGCCCAAGAAUGUGGAGUGGAACAAUGGUGCUUGCUGUGGAAGUAAAGAGUACAAUUCUUGGGCUGCUGUGAUGACUAGGAGGGUAAAGGCUUGCCACCAAGCCUAAUGAUGCGAGUUCAAUCCCC
rnacentral:lncRNA from 1 species